GCUCCAGAUUUGCUAAAAAUAGCAGGGAAAAGUAACUCUCCAUGAAGCACUGGGGGAAAGUUAGGAUUCUCUAGUAAGGAUGGGCAGGGUUAGGACAGGGUUUUUGUUGUUGUUGUUUGUUUGUAUUUCUGAUAAUUGUUUAGAGUUUUCUUGUUUUGUCUAGGGAAUAAAUAAAAGGAAAAGCAGCAAAUCUGAGACAAAGAAGAAGGCACUUUUGAUUUACUCUCGUGAACACCCUUAAUUAACUUUUUCUUUCUUUUUUUCUUCCUCUUUUCUUUCCUUUUCUUUUCUUUUCUUUUCUUUUCUUUUCUUUUCUUUUCUUUUCUUUCUCUUUAUACCAGAGCAUUGCUCAGUUCUGGUAUAUGGUGAUGGCAGGGAUUGAACCUGGGACCUUCAAGUACCUCAGACCCAAGAGUUACAGCAGACUGGAAUAGAGAAGGACAGUGGGAGCAUUUUCCCCCUGUAAAUCUUGUCCAGGAAUGUUUUGACCAGAAAUGAUGCAAUAGCAACAAACAGUGUAGUCCCUGACCUCAGGAAGCUCACACUCUUCCAAGGGAAAUGAGGACAUGCUGCAUUGAGCCUAUGUGACAUUGGGCUUGACGUGAAAUGUUUUUCCUUGGGAGAAACUUGAUGAUGUGAUACAGGACGUUUCAAGACAUUCUGAAGUGGGAAACACAUUUUCUUAAAUUAAAAAAAAUUU